CAAUUGGAUUGAGAACAACGUACAAACCUUAUCGAUAAACAAUUGGAGGGCAAGUCUGGUGCCAGCAGCCGCGGUAAUUCCAGCUCCAAUAGCGUAUAUUAACGUUGUUGCAGUUAAAAAGCUCGUAGUUGAAAUGAAGGGUAGUUGUGUAAUGAAUACAUUCGUGUAUUUUGUUAUUCUACUACCCUCCUUCUAAAUUCGAUAUAUGAGUAUUAAUUUACUUGUAUAUGGUUUUAGACGUUUACUGUGAGAAAAUUAGAGUGUUCAAAGCAGGCAUUUGCUUGAAUAUAUUAGCAUGGAAUAAUCAUGUAUGAUUUUCAUGAUGUAUUUGAUUGGUUUGGUUCAUGAGAAUAAGAUUAAAAGGGACAGUUGGGGGUAUUCAUAUUCAAUAGUCAGAGGUGAAAUUCUCGGAUUUAUGGAAGAUG
rnacentral:rRNA from 1 species